rnacentral:rRNA from 1 species
AGGACGAACGCUGGCGGCGCGCUUAACACAUGCAAGUCGAACGAGAAAGGGGUAGCAAUACCCUGAGUAAAGUGGCGCACGGGUGAGUAACACGUGACUAACCUACCCUUGAGUGGGGGGUAACUGAGGGAAACCUUAGACUAAUACCGCAUAAUACCCACGGGUCAAAGGAGCAAUUCGCUCGAGGAGGGGUCGCGGCCGAUUAGUUAGUUGGCGGGGUAAUGGCCCACCAAGACGAUGAUCGGUAUCC